AUGGACACAUCGGGAAAAGUGGUGAUUGCUACUCUGUGGGGGGAAGAUGCUGAUAGGUUUGAUAGUUCUAGACAACCCGUGAUGGCUACCAAAGGAGACAGAGUUUCUGAUUUUGGUGGACGGAGCCUCUCUGUACUGUCUUCAAGCACUGUCAUUGUGAAUCCUGACAUCCCAGAGGCCUAUAAGCUUCGUGGACGGUUUCACUCAGAAGGACAAGCCUUGGAUGGUGUUUCCAUCUCUGAUCUAAAGAGUGGAGGAGUAACAGGUAGCAACACCAACUGGAAAACUUUAUAUGAGGUUAAAUCAGAGAAUCUGGGCCAAGAGGACAAGCCGGACUAUUUUAACGCUGUGGCAACAGUGGUGUAUCUUCGCAAAGAGAACUCUAUGUACAGGCCUGCCCGACUCAGGACUGCAAUAAGAAAGUAAUUGAUCAGCAGAAUGGAUUAUACCGCUGUGAGAAGCGCCGUGAAUUUCCCGAUUUCAAGUACCGCAUGAUCCUGUCAGUAAAUAUUGCAGAUUUUCAAGAGAAUCAGUGGGUGACUUGUUUCCAGGAGUCUGCCGAAGCUAUCCUCAGACAAAACACUGCUUAUCUUGGGGAACUAAAAGAGAAGAAUGAACAAGCAUUUGAGGAAGUUUUCCAGAAUGCCAACUUUCGAUCCUCUGUAUUCAGAGUCAGAGUCAAGCUAGAGACCCACAACGACGAGUCUCGAAUUAAGGCCACUGUGAUGGACGCGAAGCCCAUGGACUACAGAGAAUAUGGCAGAAGGCUGAUCAUGAACAUCAGGAGAAACGCACUAAUGUGAGGAGAGCAGCACUAAUUGGAUAGAAGUUUGCAGAUAAAGAAUCACAAAAUGGAAUCGAUUUCUCCUCACCCCUGUGUGACAAUCCCACAUUAGCUACACAGUGCAGAGAGCCUCUUUAGGGUGGACUAAGCAAUUUCCUGUCUUAUAUGCAUCUUGGAAC